GUUUCGCCGUUGGCGUGAGAUGGUCGUGUGACGGAAAACGUUCGCGUUUUCCGCGCCUUCCGUUUUUCGAUCCGAUAGCGAACGCGUGCACUUUUCUCCUGGUAGGACGUCGCGAUCCGUUGAGUGUCGGUCUACGGCUCGUGGUGGAGCCCGUACGUACGGCUUCGGUCGUCAUGUACGGACCCACGUGUCCCGGCUGACUCGCUCGACGGUAUACGAAAGGUUUAAGGCCGCUCUUUCGAGCGUUCGACUCGUCGCAAGCGCGUCAGAUGUUUGUCGGUGAUCGGACCUAGUGCCGGUUCUGACCUCUGACGACUGUUGGUGACGAAGUUCUCGAACAGACUUUUGACCGAUCUGCGACGCUAUAGCUUUGGGUACUUUCAGGACCCGUCUUGAAACACGGACCAAGGAGUCUAGCAUGUGCGCGAGUCAUUGGGAAUCACUAAACCUAAAGGCGCAAUGAAAGUAAAAGUUCGCCUCGCGCGAACUGAGGGAGGACGAGCGAUUCGCCCUUAAAAGCGAUCGCUCCGCACUCCCGGGGCGUCUCGUUCUCAUCGCGAGAAGAGGCGCACCAAGAGCGUACACGCUGGGACCCGAAAGAUGGUGAACUAUGCCUGGUCAGGACGAAGUCAGGGGAAACCCUGAUGGAGGUCCGUAGCGAUUCUGACGUGCAAAUCGAUCGUCGGAA
rnacentral:rRNA from 1 species